rnacentral:ncRNA from 10 species
AUCGUUCAAUUUGCUUAAAGCAAAUCGGAAGUAGGUUUAAACCGAAGGAACGCGGA